UGAAUACGAGAUGCUACGGCAUCGAAGCAGUCUAUGUCAUACUUCCAAGAAAAGCUUGCACUGUCAUAAACAAAUAAUGCCUGUACCAUAACCGACACAGGUGGGUAGGUAGAGUAUACUAAGGGGCGCGAGAUAACUCUCUCUAAGGAACUCGGCAAAAUGACUCCGUAACUUCGGGAGAAGGAGUGCCUUAUUUUAUAAGGUUGCAAUAACAAGAUCCAAGCAACUGUUUACCAAAAACACAGGUCUCCGCUAAGUCGUAAGACGAUGUAUGGGGGCUGACGCCUGCCCAGUGCCAGAAGGUUAAAGAAGUUGGUUAGCAUUAGCGAAGCUGAUAACUGAAGCCCUGGUGAACGGCGGCCGUAACUAUAACGGUCCUAAGGUAGCGAAUUUCCUUGUCGGGUAAGUUCCGACCCGCACGAAAGGCGUAAUGAUUUGGAUACUGUCUCGGAGAGGGGCUCGGUGAAAUAGACUUGUCUGUGAAGAUGCGGACUACCUGCACCAGGACAGAAAGACCCUAUGAAGCUUUACUGUAACUUGAGAUUGAAAUUGGACUUUAUUUGCGCAGUAUAGGUGGGAGACGUUGAAAAUAUUCUUGCGGGAAUAUUGGAGUCAUCAGUGAGAUACCACUCUUAUAAUGUUAGAUUUCUAACUUUGUAUCAUUAUCUGGUCAAAGAACAGUCUCAGGCGGGCAGUUUGGCUGGGGCGGUCGCCUCCCAAACGGUAACGGAGGCGCACAAAGGUUUCCUCUGAACGUGUAGAAAUCGUAUCUAGAGUGUAAAGGCAUAAGGAAGCUUGACUGUGAGACCUACAAGUCGAGCAGGGACGAAAGUCGGUCUUAGUGAUCUGACGGUGCUGAGUGGAAAGGCCGUCACUCAACGGAUAAAAGUUACUCUAAGGAUAACAGGCUGAUCUCCCCCAAGAGUUCACAUCGACGGGGAGGUUUGGCACCUCGAUGUCGGCUCAUCGCAUCCUGGGGCGGUAGUACGUCCCAAGGGUUGGGCUGUUCGCCCAUGAAAGCGGUACGCGAGCUGGGUUCAGAACGUCGUGAGACAGUUCGGUCCAUAUCCGGUGUAGGCGUUAGAAUAUUGAGAGGAGCCUUCUUUAGUACGAGAGGACCGAGAAGGACAUACCUCUGGUGUACCAGUUAUCGUGCCAACGGUAAACGCUGGGUAGCUAUGUAUGGAGAGGAUAACCGCUGAAAGCAUCUAAGUGGGAAGCCCACCUCAAGAUAAG
rnacentral:rRNA from 1 species